rnacentral:rRNA from 1 species
CAUACCGCUCACCAACACGUAGCUAACCUACCCUUGGGACAAGGAUACCCCCGGGAAACUGGGGUUAAUCCGUGAUAGGUGUGGAGGCCUGGAAUGGUUCCACGCCCAAAGGCACGGCAGUCAUGUUUGUUGUGUGCCCGAGGAUGGGGCUGCGGCCGAUCAGGCAGUUGGCGAGGUAACGGCUCACCAAACCUUUGACCGGUACGGGCCAUGAAAGUGGUAGCCCGGAGAUGGGCACUGAGACAGGGGCCCAGGCCCUACGGGGCGCAGCAGGCGCGAAAACUCCACAAUGUGCGAAAGCACGAUGGGGUUACCUCGAGUGCAGUCCGAUAAGGGCUGCUUUUCCAAAGAGUAAUAUCCUGUGGGAAUAAGAGGGGGGCAAGACUGGUGUCAGCCGCCUCGGUAACACCACCCCCUCGAGUGGUGGUGACUUUUAUUUGGCCUAUAGCGUCCGUAGCUGGCUAUGUAAGUCCCCUGUUAAAUCCGUCGUUCUAAGUCGUCGGAAUGCAGAUGAU